GGACACAGGUGGAGUGACCUUCAGCCAGGUAAUAGUUAGCGCUUUAGGUUAUGUCACUUUUACCGCUAAAAAUAGCUCUGAAUCUGUGUGCAUAUUUCAGAUGCUGUAUGGUAAUUUUAUUUUUAUCAGUUACAUCAGGACUCGCACAAGUUCGAGUUGGAAGUAAUGAUUUGUAAUCUGGU